rnacentral:rRNA from 1 species
AUGAGGGGUCAUGCCGUGGAUGACUUUCCUUAUGACGCGUGGUACGAGCCAUACAUUCGGAGAUUAGGUCUUCUCCCAUCCGUGUUGCAGUUUAAGCGACACCCUUCGUCGGUGAACCACGCGGCGCUCACCGCACUUGUGGAUCGUUGGAGACCCGAGACUCACUCCUUCCACCUCCCCUGUGGGGAGAUGACGAUGACCCCAAAGGACAUGGCUAUGAUAAGUGGCCUUCCUAUCAACGGAGAAGUUGUUGCCUGUCAUGUCAGCGCCGUUAAUUGGCGAGCUCGGGUUGGUGUUUUAAUUGGUGUUGAGCCCGAUCCCCCUCUCCCAGGCAAGGCCGAUAGCUCGAAAGUGAGGCAUUCUUGGCUAAAACCAGUGAGAGGCAUUCUUGGCUAA